GAUGAAGAACGUAGCGAAAUGCGAUAAGUAAUGUGAAUUGCAGAAUUCAGUGAAUCAUCGAAUCUUUGAACGCACAUUGCGCCCGCCAGUAUUCUGGCGGGCAUGCCUGUCCGAGCGUCAUUUCAACCCUCGAACCCCUCCGGGGGGUCGGCGUUGGGGAUCGGCACUUACCUGCCGGCCCCGAAAUACAGUGGCGGUCUCGCCGCAGCCUCUCCUGCGCAGUAGUUUGCACACUCGCACCGGGAGCGCGGCGCGUCCACGGCCGUAAAACAACCCAAACUUCUGGAAUGUUGACCUCGGAUCAGGUAGGAAUACCCGCUGAACUUAAGCAUAUCAAUAAGCGGAGGA
rnacentral:misc_RNA from 1 species